CAAGACUGUAAUAUUUGCUGAUGGUUGGCAUUGUGACAAAAAGGAAUUCAAUAGAUUACAUACAGCCUUUAUCGUGAACUCUGGGAAGAAGCAAAGCCAAGCUUACAAUGCAAAGCUACCUUUGAUGAAGGGGCCACUUAAUGAGAAGGAAGGACUCACUGGAGAAGAGCCUAAUGCUCGGAAAAAUUGAGGGCAAAAGAAGGAGGGGAUGACAGAGAACGAAGUGGCUGGAUAGAGUCACUGAAGCAGUAGGCGUGAGAUUAAAUAUCCACUCCAGAGGAUGAUAGAGGACAGGAAACCCUGGAGGAACGUCGUCCAUGGGAUCCUGAUAGGUUGGACACAAAUUCACAAAUUUUAUGGGCAACAACAACAAUAACAACAACAACAAAUUCUAUGGGCAAUGGAGUCAUAACAGUUGGAGCUAUCAAAUUAUCAUUUUUUCCUUUGGAACAAAGGAUAUGCUAUAUGAAAGCAAACAAUUCUUCCAUUGUUUAGGGGGGAGAAUGGCAAAAUUUGAAUAGACCAAAAUAAAUAAAUAAAAAUCAGAUAGCUUGAGGAAGAGACAACAUUCACAAAUAAAAGCACCAUUUAAGUAAAGAUUCACAUGAAUCAAGAGCCAAUUCUACAGUGUAUUGUGCCAUGUAAAAUAGUGGACAAUAUCACACACUGUUUUUCAAGAAGGCAAAGAUAUCACUGAAUUGUGUUAUUGUUGAAGAAUAAUAUUUUGUCUUAAGCUAAGUAUUUUAUUUAAAGUGGAGUUAUACUUGAGAUGGACUUGACCUGAUCAAUAUUGUGAGAUGAUAUUCUUCAGAAUUCAGAUGGAGAAAUCAUAAGGCAAUAUUUCAAUCUUCUUUUUUUUUUUUUUUGUUCUGUAGGGAAAGGAAUAUGGAAUUCCAAGUGUCUACAGUUCAGCCUUUUAAUAUAUAGAGGGGAAAAUUAUGGAGCCAUGUAGUAUUUUUUCAGCUGCUUUCAGAAAUAAUAAGACAGAAUUAUAUGACAUUUAUUUUCUUAAUUAUGUAUAUGCAGUUUUGAUUUCCAUG